UGGUGUCGUCCACUCGAAAAGAAAUCACCGACCAAUGUGGGGUAAAUUGGCUUCCGUGUGUGCUGUAUGGAUUAUUGGAGGAUGACUCAGCUCAUGUCUUACAUAGUCCAUCUCUUUCCUGUGGCUUCUCGUUGAGAAGGAAACACAGACCAACAAAGAACAAGAUAUCAGACUCCAAUCAAAUCAGAGAUUCAGAGGAACAUGGAUUUCUCUCAAGCUUCCGAGGACAAGAUGAAAGGAAUGAAGCAAACUAUGCUGCUUUGCUGUAAGAUCUACAUCUCAGAGACCAGAAAUAAAGAAGCACUUGAUGCCAUUGAACGGGUGGCUAAGCUUGAUCCGGAAAGUGUCAUUGUUAACAAGUUCCAGGAUCGUGAUUAUAACCGGGUUCGGUACACUAUUGUAUCAUAUGUUGCUCAUGACAGCACAGGAUGUCCUGUUUAUAGUCCCCUUAGGCAGACAGUACUAAGCAUGGUUGAGGCAGCCUAUGGAGCCCUGAACCUCGAAUUGCACUCGGGCGCACAUCCUCGAACAGGCAUCGUGGAUGACAUUGUGUGCCACCCGCUGGCUCGAGCGUCGUUGGAUGAAGCAGCCUGGCUUGCUAAAUCAGUCGCAGCAGAGAUUGGCAAUCGGUUCCAAGUACCAGUAUAUUUAUAUGCUGCUGCACACCCAACUGGGAAGGCUUUGGAAACCAUAAGGCGGGAGCUGGGCUACUACCGGCCCAACUUCAUGGGCACCCAGUGGGCUGGAUGUGCCCUACCUGAAGUUCUUCCCGUCAAACCUGAUGAAGGCCCAGCCCAGGUAUCUCGAGAAAGAGGUGUCGUGAUGGUUGGUGCUCGUCCAUGGAUUGCAACAUACAAUGUGCCCAUUUUGUCAAAAGAUGUGGCAGCUGCAAAAUGGAUUGCGCAGAUGGUCAGCGCUCGAGGGGGUGGUCUCCCCACCGUGCAAACGCUGGGGCUGGUUCACGGCGAGGACUCGACUGAGAUAGCCUGCAUGCUCUUGGAGCCCAACAAGUAUGGAGCAGAUCUGGUCCAGAAGCGAGUUGAAAUGCUGGCAGCCAAAGAAGGACUAGAGGUGGAGAACGGGUACUUCACUGACUUUUCACCAGAGAUGAUCACUGAAAGAUACAUGAAAUUUGUCUCGGCUAAUUCUAACUAGUUGAAAGGCUAGUUUUGAGAUCAAACCAUUGGCAUUUAAUGAACAACAACAUUAACCAUGAAAGAGUUGUGUAUCUCAUCAACACCGAACAAAGUCUUACCUAUCUCAAUUUAGCUGAAGAAAACAGUCCUCUCAACAUCCACCUGGAAAUUGGGAAACACAACCCAAGCCCAGAAAGUAAGCCAUUACACAGGAGCUUCUCUGCAAGAUUUUGAAGAGACGUUGAAGAUUUGGAAGACACUAAAAUCAGAUGUGAUUGGUGAGCAUGCUGCAGUUGGCAAUGUUGAAGAGAUGAAAAAGGAUAACAAUAAGACCAAGAGGCUAUAGAUUGAGUUGGAGGAUACCCAGUAAGUUGUAUAGUCAUUAUUAUACUUCUAAUUGAUAAAGUUCUACU